rnacentral:lncRNA from 1 species
UAAAUGUACAUCUACCAGGAGUAGGGGAGAAUGAUUCUAAUCAUCCUUCAAAACCAAACAGAAAUUCCCUUUCUCCACUUCCCCUAGGCAGAAUAAGUAACUCCUGCUGUGUUCUCAUAGUCUUUUUACACAGUUUUACUGUACCUUUACACAUCUUUAAAUUUUUAUUCUUUCCUUCUCCCUUCCUUUCUUUCGUGUAUGAUUUGUGCCCCUACUCUGUCUUGCAGGGCCAUGGGACCCGGAUGGAAAAUGCAGUGAGCACUAGGAGACAGUCCCCGGCCCCAGAGCUCGCAGCCUCUGGAAGCAAACACACAGCCCAGGUGAGAAAGCAAAGGUCCACAGAAGGAGAUGGCGUGCCCUGCCAAAUUCAGUUUUCCUCUGCUACAAGCCACAAUUCUAUAUACAAACCUCGGUAAAAGAAGAAAAGCAAUACUUCUCCUGCCUACUGCACAGACUUAUACUGAGUGAAGAGGUGAAUUUGCAGGAUGAAGCUAGAAAGGUAGGCCAAGACCCAUUAAAGAGGGAUUUUGUGUGUAUAUUAAGGAGUUUAGAGAUUAUCCCAACAAUGUAGGGCUCUGGUAAAAUAUUUUAAGCAAGAGAAUUACAGAAUUAGAUAUAUGUUUUAGAAAGAAGACCCUGGACCAGUAUAGAACAUGAAUUGGUUUAAGUCGUGACAGGAACAUGUUGUAAGGCAGUUAAAUAACCCUGAAGAGAAAUGAUGGUUUGAAU